UACGUAGGAUGCAAGCGUUGUCCGGAAUUAUUGGGCGUAAAGAGCUUGUAGGCGGUUUGUCGCGUCUGCUGUGAAAUUUCGGGGCUCAACCCCGAACUUGCAGUGGGUACGGGCAGACUAGGGUGUGGUAGGGGAGACUGGAAUUCCUGGUGUAGCGGUGAAAUGCGCAGAUAUCAGGAGGAACACCGAUGGCGAAGGCAGGUCUCUGGGCCACUACUGACGCUGAGAAGCGAAAGCAUGGGGAGCGAACAGG
rnacentral:rRNA from 1 species